rnacentral:rRNA from 1 species
UGGGGAAUAUUGGACAAUGGGGGGAACCCUGAUCCAGCCAUGCCGCGUGUGUGAAGAAGGCCUUAUGGUUGUAAAGCACUUUAAGCGAGGAGGAGGGUACUGGUAUUAAUACUACCAGGUACUGGACGUUACUCGCAGAAUAAGCACCGGCUAACUCUGUGCCAGCAGCCGCGGUAAUACAGAGGGUGCGAGCGUUAAUCGGAUUUACUGGGCGUAAAGCGUGCGUAGGCGGCUAAUUGAGUCGGAUGUGAAAUCCCCGAGCUUAACGUGGGAAUUGCAUUAGAUACUGGUUAGCUAGAGUGUGGGAGAGGAUGGUAGAAUUCCAGGUGUAGCGGUGAAAUGCGUAGAGAUCUGGAGGAAUACCGAUGGCGAAGGCAGCCAUCUGGCCUAACACUGACGCUGAGGUACGAAAGCAUGGGGAGCAAACAGG